UUUCUGUUUUUUUUUUUUUUGAGGCAGUAUAGAAAUGCAGUCCAAUAACUAUUAAAUAACAAAUUGCAAAAAUGUGAUUAAUACAUAAAAUAACCUUGUAUUGACAAAACUCAGAAUUUUUAUAGCCUAUUACCUACACGGUAUGUUUUUUUUUUUCUUACAUCAAGAAUCGGUUCAUAAAGUUUUUUUUAUCGGGUUACACUUCUCUUUGCCACUUUUCGUGUUGUUUGUUCGACUCAGACUCUAUAAAACCGACACAAGAGCAAUUCAUCAAAGAGUCGAAUUGCACUGACUGUGCUGCAUAAUCUGGUAAUCAGACAGUUCUCAUUUUGAUGGCCCAUCUCCAGCUUGGACUGCCAGAGGAAAUGUCCGCGUUUUUCAGUGCACAAAACCAUUAUCCGAAUAUUGAAUACUGAAUUUCACUUAACUGAAAGGCUUGAAAAUAGGUCAGAAACAGACCAACAGGGGACGCCGUUUGCCAUUGCAGCCUCAAGUCACGUUAUUACUCGUCUUCCGCUACAUGCUCGCGCUAAACUAAUUUACAGGUUUAAACGACGUAGGUUGACGAUCAUCUUCAUCAUCAUUAUUAAGAAACUCUGUCCAUCCAGAAAUCCUGGUGUUUCCUGGAGGACAUACCCUCACUCCAUCCAGAAUGAAUCCGCUACACCUGUGUGUGAAAAGGUCACCUGACCACCCGUUGGCGAGUCAAGACCGAUCCCGCUGCCACACCAGAUUAUAGACAGAGGUGGAAAUGACAGUAGAUCUGUACCAUCCCCUGGCUCAUGACCUGCUACUGAAAUACUUCAAGUUAAUCGAUAAAACAGUGGUGCGUUUCCCAGCUAAUGUCAAGUGUCUGAGGACCACCACCUUGAUGCAUUAUUAAAUGCACAUACGCAGACUGGAGGCAAAGACGUGGAACAGAAGCCCCGGCGAAAUGAACGCAAGAUCUGACAGAGAGAGCGAAAGAGGGAGAGAAAACUUAAUUGAAGCCUGAUUACUGGCCCUUGGGAGGUUACAGUUUAUUAAUAUGUCACUUUCAAUAAAGACACUCCCAUAUUCAGAUUCACUGUUACCAUGGAAACCUCGUUUCUUUUUACGUUUGACUUUUUUUCCCCUCCCUGAGUGGAAGGAGAGGUUAAUGACACAAAUCCUCCCGACGCUCAGGUUGAUUUUCAAACCCCUCUGUCUGAAAUAAUCAGUGUUUUGCUUUUCUACAGCUCUGUCUUUGCCCUCUGAGCCGCUGUGGGAAGAGAGGAGAUAUUUUAUGCC
ensembl:lncRNA